ensembl:snRNA U6 U6 spliceosomal RNA
GUGCUUGCUGUAGUAGCACAUAUACUAAAAUUGGAAUGAUACUAAGAAGAUUAGCAUGUUGUUUGAGUAAGGAUAACAUUCAAAUUCAUGAAGCAUUUCAUACUUUU